UCCCUCAGAGCAAGUCAGGACCUUAUCACCUGGCACUUCCUCCUAGCUCCUCCUCCACCUCACACAUUUCCAGCCAAAACUCAGGCCAGGCUCUCAUUUGUGACUUCCUUAUUUUCCAUCACCGCUGCUUUCAACCGUGCUUAUUGUCCACAUCAUUCCAACAUCCUUCUUCAUUUAGCUGAUGCUAGCCCGUUAGAAACCGUCCCGGCACUAACUUCCCAGCACUUCUCUCAACCCCUCCUAGGCUUCGCCAUCCAUGUCCCUGCCUCACUGUUCUGCUAAGCAAGGUACAUGUCAGGCAAAGCUCUUCCUUCGGUCCAUGUUUUUUUUUUCCUAGAUUUUGCUACUGACAUCAUUACCACAAGACUGAUGGCAUCCAUCACCUUCCCCAGGAGAUAGCACAGAGACUGGCAUACUAAGUGCAACCGCACUGGGACCUGCAGCCAUUCUGCUGGUGGCUGAGUGAGAGACAGCAGAGGACAACUUUCACAAGGACAAGGGUGUGCCCAACCCUUCCUCAACCACAGGCUGCUGCUGUUCAACACCAAAGCUGACCGUUUUCAACAUCAGCUCUACCCCUUCCCCACAAACAGCAGCUCCAGAGACCCACAUUAGAGAGCAAGCAGUGGGACUGGGAAGGCUAAGACCAAAGUGACUCAGAAUCCAGCCUGGCAGCUGGGACGACCCACAACGCUUCAGUACUCACAACAGCUACCCUUGGACACCCGUGUGCACAGCUCCAAUACCACCACAUGUGUGACCUCUGGGACACCAUUUAACUUCAAAGUGCCUGUUUCCCCAGCCAUAAAUUUGUGAUGAAAUGAUACCCACCUUACAAGACUAAUAAACAGCAUGAGAUAAUGUACGGACAAGAUUUGCUAUAAACAGAGCCAUUAGGAGAUUCUGCUCCACCAAAUAGACUGAGGAAGCUACGGAAGCCUAUUGUACUUAUUGGCCAGAUGACUGAAACCUCCUGAGGAUGGAUAAGAAAUGCUUUGAAAGCAGUGGCAGCUUAAAAGGGAACCUAGCUUUUGUGCUAUGCUCCCUGGGACAAGACCACUAAACUGAUGGAUCUACCCAGGUGCUCUGAAUCAUACCAUGACUUAAUAAAAAAAAUUGUCUCCCCAA